CACAUUGAUUGACUUCUAUCUGAACAAUUUCAUGCUACAGUAGCAAAUUAAAAAAAAUGAAAAAUGAUGUACUUAUAAGAAGAAAACAAGAACGCAAAGUCAAGAAGUUCAAUGAAAUUACCUCGAAAACAUUUGAAUGCAACAACUACGAUAAUCAUUUAUCAAAGAAUAACCUGUAUGUACUUUUUAUUAAUAAGAGAAGAAAAUACUCAAAUCAAAGAACAAACCUAUACACAUAACAUUGAGUAAAUGUUGUAACUACAAGAUGAUCAAAAGCAAGAGAUGUCUUCAUUACUCGAUCACGAAAAUCUAAAUAAAAAAUAAAAAAGCAUUAUUAGAAAUUAUUAAGUCAAAGACUGCUCGUCACAUGUCCUAUAUACGUAA